UAUGGGGACAAUACUGGCAUAGCUUUAGCACCCUAGCUAUGCCGGCAUAGCCCCAUGGU
rnacentral:pre_miRNA from 1 species